rnacentral:rRNA from 1 species
CAGGCUGCAACUCGCCUGCACGAAGUUGGAAUUGCUAGUAAUCGUGGAUCAGCAUGCCACGGUGAAUACGUUCCCGGGUCUUGUACACACCGCCCGUCACACCAUGGGAGCCGGGAGUGCCUGAAGUGCGUGAGCGCAAGCAGCGUCCUAAGGUAAAACCGGUGACUGGGGCUAAGUCGUAACAAGGUAAC